rnacentral:rRNA from 1 species
UGGGAACCUUCCCUUAACUCUGGGAUAAGCCUGGGAAACUGGGUCUAAUACCGAAUACACCUCAUGGACUGCAUGGUUUGUGGGGGAAAGCUUUUGCGGUGUGGGAUGGGCCCGCGGCCUAUCAGCUUGUUGGUGGGGUGAUGGCCUACCAAGGCGACGACGGGUAGCCGGCCUGAGAGGGUGUCCGGCCACACUGGGACUGAGACACGGCCCAGACUCCUACGGGAGGCAG